rnacentral:rRNA from 1 species
UACGAAGGGGGCGAGCGUUGUUCGGAAUCACUGGGCGUAAAGGGCGCGUAGGCGGCCCUUCUUGUCGCGUGUGAAAGCCCCGGGCUCAACCUGGGAAUGGCGAUGGAUACUGGCUCGCUAGAGUGCGGUAGAGGAGAGUGGAAUUCCCGGUGUAGCAGUGAAAUGCGUAGAGAUCGGGAGGAACAUCAGUUGCGAAGGCGGCUCUCUGGACCAGCACUGACACUGAGGCACGAAAGCGUGGGGAGCAAACAGG